GAGAUCAAAGAAGUUCGCGCGGGCGACAUCGCGGCUGCUAUCGGCCUGAAAGACGUGACUACCGGUGACACCCUGUGUGAUCCGGAAAACCCGAUCAUUCUGGAACGUAUGGAAUUCCCUGAGCCGGUAAUCUCCAUCGCGGUAGAACCGAAAACCAAAGCUGACCAGGAAAAAAUGGGUCUGGCUCUGGGCCGUCUGGCGAAAGAAGACCCGUCGUUCCGCGUAUGGACUGAUGAAGAAUCUAACCAGACCAUCAUCGCUGGUAUGGGUGAACUUCACCUAGAUAUCAUCGUUGACCGUAUGAAGCGUGAAUUCAACGUUGAAGCGAACGUGGGUAAACCUCAGGUUGCUUACCGCGAAGCGAUUCGCGCGAAAGUUACCGACAUCGAAGGUAAACACGCGAAACAGUCUGGUGGUCGCGGUCAGUAUGGUCAUGUUGUUAUCGACAUGUACCCGCUGGAGCCGGGCUCUAACCCGAAAGGUUACGAGUUCAUCAACGACAUCAAAGGUGGUGUAAUUCCUGGCGAGUACAUCCCGGCCGUUGAUAAAGGCAUCCAGGAGCAGCUGAAAUCUGGCCCGCUGGCGGGUUAUCCGGUAGUUGAUCUCGGUGUGCGUCUGCACUUCGGUUCUUACCAUGACGUUGACUCCUCUGAGCUGGCGUUUAAACUGGCUGCGUCUAUCGCCUUUAAAGAAGGCUUUAAGAAAGCAAAACCAGUUCUGCUUGAGCCGAUCAUGAAGGUUGAAGUAGAAACACCUGAAGAGAAUACCGGUGACGUUAUCGGCGACCUUAGCCGCCGUCGUGGUAUGCUCAAAGGUCAGGAAUCUGAAGUUACAGGCGUUAAGAUCCACGCUGAAGUACCGCUGUCUGAAAUGUUCGGAUAUGCAACUCAGCUGCGUUCUCUGACCAAAGGUCGCGCAUCGUACACUAUGGAAUUCCUGAAGUAUGAUGAUGCGCCGAACAACGUUGCUCAGGCCGUAAUCGAAGCCCGUGGUAAAUAAGCCGCAGGGUUAAAAACCAAAAUCCCGUGCUCUCUCCUGAAGGGGAGAGCGCUAUAGUAAGGAAUAUAGCCGUGUCUAAAGAAAAAUUUGAACGUACAAAACCGCACGUUAACGUCGGCACCAUCGGCCACGUUGACCACGGUAAAACUACCCUGACCGCUGCAAUCACCACCGUACUGGCUAAAACCUACGGCGGUGCUGCUCGUGCAUUCGACCAGAUCGAUAACGCUCCGGAAGAAAAAGCGCGUGGUAUCACCAUCAACACUUCUCACGUUGAAUACGAUACCCCGACCNUGCCCUGCUUCCAGGAAAAGCCUCUAAGCAUCAGGUAACAUCAAAUCGUACCCCAAACCGACACAGGUGGUCAGGUAGAGAAUACCAAGGCGCUUGAGAGAACUCGGGUGAAGGAACUAGGCAAAAUGGUGCCGUAACUUCGGGAGAAGGCACGCUGACACGUAGGUGAAGUGAUUUACUCACGGAGCUGAAGUCAGCCGAAGAUACCAGCUGGCUGCAACUGUUUAUUAAAAACACAGCACUGUGCAAACACGAAAGUGGACGUAUACGGUGUGACGCCUGCCCGGUGCCGGAAGGUUAAUUGAUGGGGUCAGCGCAAGCGAAGCUCCUGAUCGAAGCCCCGGUAAACGGCGGCCGUAACUAUAACGGUCCUAAGGUAGCGAAAUUCCUUGUCGGGUAAGUUCCGACCUGCACGAAUGGCGUAAUGAUGGCCAGGCUGUCUCCACCCGAGACUCAGUGAAAUUGAACUCGCUGUGAAGAUGCAGUGUACCCGCGGCAAGACGGAAAGACCCCGUGAACCUUUACUAUAGCUUGACACUGAACAUUGAGCCUUGAUGUGUAGGAUAGGUGGGAGGCUUUGAAGUGUGGACGCCAGUCUGCAUGGAGCCGACCUUGAAAUACCACCCUUUAAUGUUUGAUGUUCUAACGUGGACCCGUGAUCCGGGUUGCGGACAGUGUCUGGUGGGUAGUUUGACUGGGGCGGUCUCCUCCUAAAGAGUAACGGAGGAGCACGAAGGUUGGCUAAUCCUGGUCGGACAUCAGGAGGUUAGUGCAAUGGCAUAAGCCAGCUUGACUGCGAGCGUGACGGCGCGAGCAGGUGCGAAAGCAGGUCAUAGUGAUCCGGUGGUUCUGAAUGGAAGGGCCAUCGCUCAACGGAUAAAAGGUACUCCGGGGAUAACAGGCUGAUACCGCCCAAGAGUUCAUAUCGACGGCGGUGUUUGGCACCUCGAUGUCGGCUCAUCACAUCCUGGGGCUGAAGUAGGUCCCAAGGGUAUGGCUGUUCGCCAUUUAAAGUGGUACGCGAGCUGGGUUUAGAACGUCGUGAGACAGUUCGGUCCCUAUCUGCCGUGGGCGCUGGAGAACUGAGGGGGGCUGCUCCUAGUACGAGAGGACCGGAGUGGACGCAUCACUGGUGUUCGGGUUGUCAUGCCAAUGGCACUGCCCGGUAGCUAAAUGCGGAAGAGAUAAGUGCUGAAAGCAUCUAAGCACGAAACUUGCCCCGAGAUGAGUUCUCCCUGAGACUUUAGGUCUCCUGAAGGAACGUUGAAGACGACGACGUUGAUAGGCCGGGUGUGUAAGCGCAGCGAUGCGUUGAGCUAACCGGUACUAAUGAACCGUGAGGCUUAACCUU
rnacentral:rRNA from 1 species